rnacentral:rRNA from 1 species
GACGAACGCUGGCGGCGUGCUUAACACAUGCAAGUCGAACGGUGAAGCCCCUUCUUUUUUGGCGGGUGUGGAUGAGUGGCGAACAGGUGCGCAACACUUGAGUAACCUGCCCCCUUCUUCUGGAUAACCGCAUGAAAGUGUGUCUAAUACGGGAUAUUCUGGGUCUGUCUCAUGAUGGGUCUGGGUAGGUUAUUGUUUCGGUGGGGGAUGGGCGCGCGGCCUAUCAGCUUGUUGGCGGGGUGAUGGCCUACCAAGGCGGUGACGAGUAGCCGGCCUGGGAGGGUGGACGGGCAGGCUGGGACUGAGGCACGGCCAAGACUGCAACGGGAGGCAGCAGUGGAGCAUAUGGGACAAUGGGGGCGAGCCUGAUGCAGCAACGGCGCGUGAGUGAUGGAGGCAUGCGGGUUGUGAGCCGCUUUCGUUAGUGAUGCAAAGCUGCCUCGUUCGGGGGGGUAUUGACGGUAGCUGGAGAAGAAGCGCCGGCUAACUACGUG